AUUGAACGCUGGCGGCAGACUUAACACAUGCAAGUCGAGCGAGCGGCGGACGGGUGAGUAAUGUCUGGGAAACUGCCUGAUGGAGGGGGAUAACUACUGGAAACGGUAGCUAAUUCCGCACACCAUCAGAUGUGCCCAGAUGGGAUUAGCUAGUAGGUGGGGUAAUGGCUCACCUAGGCGACGAUCCCUUGCUGGUCUGGGAGGAUCACCAGCCACACGGGACCGGGACAAGGGUCAAGACUCCUAGGGGAGGAGGAGGGGGGGAAUUGUGCACAAUGGGCGAAAGCCUGUAGCGGCCAGGCCGGGUGUGGGAAGAGGGCCUUCGGGUGGUAAAGAACUUUCAGCGGGGAGGCGUUACUCGCAGAUGAAGCACCGGCUAACUCCGUGCCAGCGGCCGCGUAAUUC
rnacentral:rRNA from 1 species